ACAGGUCUAUAAUACUGGUCUGUGUCUUUAGUCACAGGUCUAUAAUACUGGUCUGUGUCUUUAGUCACAGGUCUAUAGUACUGGUCUGUGUCUUUAGUCACAGGUCUAUAGUACUGGUCU